GGGGAGGGCUAUAGCUCAGUGGUCCGGCAUUUGCUGUGCCUGCAGAAGGUCCCAGGGUCAAUGCCUGGCUUCUCCA